AGAAAAAUACCUCAAUUGUUGUACAUUCACUUGAGUUUAUAAAAAAAAAAAUUUGCUGUUGUAGAAAAAAAUACAUUUGCAUUCAUAGUAUUCAAUUGUAUUAUAAUUUAGUCGUUUGCCAUUUGUAUGUAGACAUAAUGAAAUCGAUUCAUUUUGAAUCGACACAUUAACAAUUUUAUUUUAAACAAAUUAUUCAAUUAAUUAUUUCGAAAAUUUGUAUAUUAGUUGAAAUUAUUCAAAAUGUCCGAAAAAGAGCUUAUUCAUAAUAUAUUAAGCUCAGCGCUCGACGCUGAUGAAAGUGGUGAUAAAGAAAAAGCGGUUGAACUGUACACAAAGGCAGUGGAAUUUGUAUUGAAAAUAAGUGAUCUGGCAUUGCGUGAACGUUUGAACAAAUAUGCGGUACAAGCACUUGAUCGUGCUGAAGAAUUGCGUGGUAUUUCAUUGCCGUCAGACAAAUCACAAGCUGCAUCAUCUGUUGAUGAAGGUCAUGCCAGCCAUCAACGCGUACAGAGUACAAACAUUGCACGAACGGAAAUAGAUAAGCCCGUACCGAAACCGAGACUUUCAGGCACUUCAUCGGGAUAUACGGAAGAAGAGAAACGAGUGCUGAAUCAUACAUCGAACAUAAAUGAGAAUAUUUUUGUGCCUUUCAUGGAUGUUGAUUUGAGAGAUCGAUUCAUAUUCUCUAUACCAUUCACUGAUAAAGAUGGAUAUUUAGCGUUGGCACCAAAGCAAAGGCGUGACUUCAUUGAAUGGCGUCGUGUUAGCGAACUAUGUGAAAAUCCCAAUUUAAUUGUUGGCAAAUUUGUAGAUUAUCAUAGCAUCAAACAAACUGUGAUAUCCGAUUGUAGUUUUGUGGCUUCGUUGGCUGUGUCUGCAUUGUACGAGAAGCGCUUCGGAAAGGCUUUGGUAACAUCCAUAAUUUAUCCAAGAAAUUCGAAAAAUGAACCAAUUUACAAUUCAAGUGGCAAAUAUUCGAUUAAACUGCAUAUCAAUGGCAUUCAACGGAAGGUUAUUAUCGAUGAUUAUUUGCCGAUUGGCCGAUACAAUCAACUGCUGUGCUCUUAUUCGAAUAAUAAAAACGAAUUUUGGGUAUCAUUAUUGGAGAAAGCGUACAUGAAAGUGAUGGGUGGCUAUGAUUUUCCUGGAUCUAACAGUAAUAUAGAUUUGCAUGCAUUAACUGGUUGGAUUCCAGAGCGUAUUGCAAUUCGUAUGAAAGAUGAGACUUUCAAUGUGGAUGCCGCUUUUGAUCGGUUGGAAACAGCACUGUCACAUGGAAGGUGCUUGAUUACAGUUGCCACUGGUGAAUUAACUGACGAUCAAGCUGAACGCACUGGUUUAGUUCCAGCACAUGCGUACGCUGUUUUAAAUUUGAAAGAAAUCAAUGGAAUCAAACUUCUUCAAUUGAAAAACCCUUGGUCACAUCUACGUUGGAAGGGUAAUUAUUCCGAAUUGGAUUCAGUACACUGGACGCCAGAACUUCAAGAAACAUUAAACUACAAUCCAAAAUUGGCCGAGCAAUACGACAAUGGUAUUUUUUGGAUCGAUUAUCCAUCAAUUUUGAAUUUCUUCGAUGUAUUCUAUGUGAAUUGGGAUCCAAAUUUAUUUCAACACACAUAUUGUAUACAUUCAUCAUGGUCGGCUGGUGUAGGUCCGACCAAAGAUGCAUACACAAUCGGUGAUAAUCCACAAUUUUGCCUACGCGUUGCGCCUGGCCAGGGCUCAGUUUGGGUUUUAUUAACCAGACACAUUACUUCAAUCGAAGAUUUUCGAGAAAAUCAUGAAUACAUCACACUGUUAGUAUAUCAAAAUGGUGGAAAACGAAUUUAUUAUCCAUAUGACCCUCCUCCAUUUAUAGAUGGCAUAAGAAUUAAUAGCCCACAUUAUCUACAAAAAAUUCGCCUUGAUCCGAACGAAGCAAAAAGUUACACGUUAGUUGUGUCUCAAUACGAAAAAACAACAACAAUUUACUACACACUUCGAGCAUAUUCACGUAAUCCGUUUGAAUUCAAGCCUAUAGGCCAACAAACAAUCCAUCAACAAUACCUCAGCAAUGUGAAAACACAGUUGACCACACGUUGUGAGAAGGGAUUGGCGUACUUCUUGCAAAUGAAGUGCUACCAAUUCAAUCAGGAACCAUACAGAUUAUUCAAAUUUGAUCAAAUCGACAUUCGAAACGCAAUCAUUCACUGGAGUGAAGGUGAUCCAGUUCGAAAAUCGAAAAUGAAUGAGCUGUUUGUUGCGGUGAAAGAACGUUGUUUACCAUCAUUUGGCGAAUAUCUCAUCGAGAAAAAGUGGUUUUCAUUUUUCCAUCCAAAUACAACGUGAAAUUAGUGAGUUCAAGGAAGAACAUCGAAAGCUGGUGCAUGUUUGGCUGCGACACAAGAAAAAUCCAUCGUUGUGCGAAAAACCGACGCAAUGACUGCCGCCAAAGAUUGGCAAUUUCACCGAUGUACCGCUAUGUGAUAAUAAACUCAAACACAUCAAAUUCGAUCAUAAGGAAUUGUUAGCACUAUUGGCUCGAUGGAAAGUGAUUCCAGAAAAAUUGGGUGGCAAAGAUGAUGGAGGUAAUUUUGUAUAUAGCAAAAAUUAUUUUGAAGAAUACCCAUACGACGCUUGGAAUAUUUUAUACGACAUGAAGAAAAUAAAUGAACUCAAAAGACCAAACCAACAAUUUCACCGUAUUCGAAUCACCAAAAACGUGAGAAGACCGAAUUCAAUCGCGAACGAAUCAAACAAAAACUUAAAGCCGGUGAUUACACGUAUAUCAUCCCACUUGAUCCCGGCGUGAACACAUACUAUGCUGGAUUUCGUCGGAAAAUUGAAACUUGUGUCGAAUGCCCGACAAGAUAUUCGGGACAAAAAAGCGAAGCGCAUGACAGCAACAUUCACGAAGAUGGAACAGUCCGAUCGCGAGGAAAACUAUCUAUCAAUACCAUCACCACGCGGAAACGGCUGGAUAUUAGGGUGGAACAUUUUUGGCAUAAUUUUAUGGCCACUUGGAAAAACAUGUCUUAUAGUCCCCAGAUUCAAGAUAUGAAGGAGUUUUCAACUUUCGGUUCCAUAUAAGACAGCGACUUGAAAGGAAUGGAGGUACAUUAUACUGGAAAAUUAUGAAAAAUUGCAGUGACCCAAUCACCAUGAAAACUUUUGAAACUUAUUUUCUGACCAAAAUAAGUAAUAUCACCAAGUUUCAUGAAAUUUAAACCAAAAAUAAAGAUGCCUCCUUAACUACUUUUUUUGGUUGACAUUUCAUGAAACUUGGUGAUAUUACUUAUUUCAGUGCUUAUAAAACGCACGAUCAAUGCGAUACGUAACUCAAUGUGCUGAGUUUUCGAAUGUACGGUGCGCUUGUCCACUCACCGAACAAGUGCGAGAGCAACUCACUACUCGCUCAAGUCACAUUAUGAGUGAGCAAAAUCUCGCUCGCACCACUUAUACAUUUACUUAAAAAUAAACAUAAAAAACAUUAUACAAAAUGAAGGA